AUGAGGAAUGGGCUGGGGCGGCGCAUCUGUUGACAGCACAAGGCAGAUGUCCGCGAGCAGUGCUGAGGUGGAACGGCAAUUCCUCACGGAGGAGCAGGUCCACGGCACUGCUGAUGCAGUCGGUGUCACGAAGGGUCCACAUUGUGCAAGCGUCGCCUUGCGAUCCUCUGGUC
rnacentral:rRNA from 1 species